GACGAACGCUGGCGGCGUGCUUAACACAUGCAAGUCGAACGAAGUGGCGAACGGGUGAGUAACGAGUAAUCAACAUGCCCUUCAGAGGGGGACAACAGAUGGAAACGACUGCUAAUACCGCAUACUGAAGGAGGGGAGUGAGUCUGAUUAGCUAGUUGGAGGGGUAACGGCCCACCAAGGCGAUGAGCAGUAGCCGGUCUGGGAGGCUGAACGGCCACAUUGGGACUGAGACACGGCCCAGACUCCUACGGGAGGCAGCAGUGGGGAAUCUUCCGCAAUGGACGAAAGUCUGACGGAGCAACGCCGCGUGAGUGAUGACGGCCUUCGGGUUGUAAAGCUCUGUUAAUCGGGACGCGGUACCGGAAUAGAAAGCCACGGCUAACUACGUGCCAGCAGCCGCGGUAAUAC
rnacentral:rRNA from 1 species